rnacentral:lncRNA from 1 species
GUAAACUCCAUGACUAGUUAGCAAAAGCUCCCUGACAUGAACAUAAACUAACUCAGAGGACCUAGAGGAUCCGAUCAUGAUGAUAAUUUUCCAGCUUUGAUAAGUCUUCAACGUCUUUUGCAAGACGGCAAUUGGUUUAAUAGCGUAGGGGGAUCCAAAAUCAAAAGCUUUCGGUAACUCCAAGUCAGUAUGACCAGGCAUGUCCGUGGAGGGUCGGUAGUGCGAGGCACACUUAAAACCACUAUCUCCUUAAUUUCGGACAAUUCUAAGACAUCACACUGAGCUUAGAUGAGCCUAGUUGAACAAUUGAUGAUGAAAAAUCCGCUAUAGGGUUGAAGACUUAACCGGAAACACGUGGGCGAUCCUCCUUGAGGAUGCAGUGCCAUGAGUCACCUUCAAAGGAAGGGACCAAAAUCGGCACAAUAUGCCAUGUUUCUAAGGACGAUGUAAGUGUACAUCUUGAUUGUAAAUCAAUAUGAACCAUAAGAGGAGAAUAGUUUCACUUUGAAAAUUCUCAAGGCAUUCAUUAUUGCUAAUGUGAGUACAUCGAGGUCUCAAAUAGACAAAGGACGUCGAUACAACGCCUUAGUACAUAUAACUUGGAACGAAAAUCAAUGUCUAGCCGAUGACAUCAAAGUCAUGGGUAGCUAGAGUAGGAUCCGAAUCUUUGAAAUUCGCGAUCAUGAGGAUGACGUUCUUGUCCUCAUAUUGAUUUUCCAUAUCUUUUUGUAUGCAUUCACAAUUUAAAGGAGCUUGACAAUCUUGAACCAGUGAUCCGAAGAUCCACAACGGUUGCAUUAAUGUCAUGAGCUGACGUGAGUAGUUUUGACAAAAUGGUGUCUAGACUGGGAGUGUCGCUAUUAGAGCCGGCAACACCUCCCCCUCUUUUCUAGACAUCGGCACGACGUUUUCUGUGGUUGCCAUGACCCAUAUUGUUGUCCCCACAUUAGGGGAUAAUCCCAAAUAAGUUUAUCACAUUAGCGUAUAUACAAUUCCUGUUUGUAUGAUCAAAAUCAAGUCUUGUUGGUAAUUCCACACCAACUUGGAGGACCUAGAGAACUUGAUGAUGAUCGAAUCUGCUAAAGAUUAUGGAUCAUGAUGCCACAAAAGAUCAUCGACAAUAUGUAGUCAAUUAAGGUGGUAAGCAAUCCACUUGACUAAUAACUCAACAAGUAGAGUUAUAUGAACGUUU